rnacentral:sRNA from 1 species
UGAUAAUGUGGCACUAGCGUGUAGAAU